ensembl:miRNA MIR4420 microRNA 4420
CUCUUGGUAUGAACAUCUGUGUGUUCAUGUCUCUCUGUGCACAGGGGACGAGAGUCACUGAUGUCUGUAGCUGAGAC